UACGGGGGGAGCAAGCGUUGUUCGGAUUUACUGGGCGUAAAGGGCGCGUAGGCGGCGCAACAAGUCACUUGUGAAAUCUCCGGGCUUAACCCGGAGCGGUCAAGUGAUACUGUCGUGCUAGAGUGCGGAAGGGGCUACUGGAAUUCCUGGUGUAGCGGUGAAAUGCGCAGAUAUCAGGAGGAACACCGGUGGCGAAGGCGGGGUCUCUGGGCCGGUACUGACGCU
rnacentral:rRNA from 1 species